GGGUAAAUCAAUAAAAUUUAUUAGGUAAUUGUUAAUUCAUUUAAUCACUACAUGCAGCUCAUCAAUAUAAAAAACUACGGUAAGAAGAUUGGGACUUAGAUUUGCGCAGCUUUAACCUUGAAUAUCCAGGAAAUAGAAUGAGAUUUAGUAUGACAACCGAUGGAUGCUUCUUUUAAGCCAUAACUGGUAGGCAGUCAUGUAAAAGGAAUCAUAGCCUUUUGGUAUUGUAUGCCACUCGAAGUGCCUCCUAAUUUUGCAUAGAUUACGGUACAUGCUCAGGUAUGUUUGUGGCGUUAUAGCUAGCAAUCUCAUUUUUAAGAACGCAACAUCUUGGUGGCUAAUGAUAACUGAAAACUUGCUCCAGUCCAAGACAUUGGCAAAUGGAAGGUCAUAAUAAUUGGAAAUUAUAACAGGAACGCACCCAUAAUGUAUAGCAUCACUGAUUCUCGCAGUGUUCACUUCAUAACCUUUAACAUGGAGGCAAAACUUACUCCUCCUGAAGCCUUCAUCAUAGGGGAAAGAUGGACUCCCAUUAAAUAUGUCCAUUUGAGUAUCGUUUCCCCAUAAAUUUAACAGGUCCUGCCGAACUUGUGAAUUUUGAGCACGUCCAGCAAAGUAAAGAAGUCUAUGCCUGGCAUGUGGGGGAUUCAAGGUACUAUGAGGGCGAGGCCAAACUUGGGGAAGCCCCACAUCUUUGUGGGAAACAAAAAACCGCUGGAAGUAGCUGGAAGAACAAGUGAGCUGAAUGGCAUUAUUGUGCAAAAAAGGAUGCCCGGAGGCCGCCUGGCGCCCAACCGAAUGACAGCACACAUAGAAAUGAUCGACACCUGCAGAGGCGUUCCAGAAUCUGAAGCGGUGGCUGAUGUUAGCGGUGUAUUCGGCGACGAAUUCUGAGAUGGAUGCCUCGGAAUGGAAGCGAGGGUCGUUUCUGAGGUUGUUGAUAGAGAAUGGGAGGAAAAAGAAUUGGGCUUGUUUAGGGAAAGGAGUAAGCAGGGAACUGCCAAGAAGGGCCACCUUGAACAUGUGUUCGCUGAAGUAAUUGCCUAGUUUUGGGUGAAUAAAAGGGUUUUGAAGGGGAAGGAAAAUGUUCGCGAAAGGGUUGCUUUUGUUGAAAACAUCGGGAUAAACAAAGAUCUUCAAAUGUUGCAUCAUCUCCUGAAAAUCCACAGCAAAAAGCUUCCAAUUGUGAUAGGGGCCACUUCCCCAUUUCGAGUGUACAGAAGUGGUGGUUGCAGUGGACUUUGCUGCUGGUGGCGACGCCUUAUGCGAACCAUUAUAAAGAUGAUGCAGUUUUGGAUGGAAUGUGCUCCUUUCUGAGGGGUAUUUAUACCCAAAAAACGCAAUACUUGAGGAAAGAGACACAGCCAACACAAGCACUAGUAGUAGUGGCUGAUGAUGAAGUUGUUUGGGCGGCCUUUUCAUCUUCAUCGGCUUUCAGUUCCUCCUGCUCUUUUGGGGAGAAGAUAAAAUAACGGGAUUCGAACGGCGAGGAUGGAUAGAAGACAAAAGAAGACAAAUAUAUAUUUCAGAUGGAGAGGACGACAAAACCUAGGACUGAGCGCAACAUUAACACUACUAACAUAUAAAAUGUGUUGGAAAUCGCUAUUCCCACGUUAGCGUCUUGUGAUGAUGCCGGUUGCCGAAGCGAUUUGGGAUUUCAUCUGCGAAGAAAAUUUUAUUUUUUUUAAUAUUAAACAAUUUUUU
rnacentral:misc_RNA from 1 species